ACUGCCAUAGUAUGCCUAAUGGUCUUUGUUGAACCAAGUUUCCCUUGAAAAAGAAGAUGACAGAAUAAUAGAACAGAUGACAAAAGGCCCUAGGCUGCAACAUUUCUUUUUAAAAGCAGUGUUUCUAUCAAAUGCUGCAAAUAUAAAUUUACAUAUCUGACUAAUGAUAUGCUUAACAGAACGGAUUACAGAACUCUGUAUUUUAUGUAUAAAAUAUAUUUAUAUUUUGAGGCACUCUAAAGCCCAGGUCCUUGAAGUCUUUGUGUCACUGGACCCUGCACUUGGGGACUUUCAAUAAAUGUGCACAGAAAGAUAAGCAUGAACCAUGCAAUGUUGGGCCCUUGAGGAAGCAUAAACUGACUGAAAUGCAUUGUACUACAGUGGCUGGGGGUGGGGAGUGGAGAGGAGGAAAAAGUACUUGUUAGUAGCAAGAUUAUGAUUAAUUUGAUUAUAAACAUUUAUUUAGAGCAGAUCUUGAAAUGAAUGGGUUGACCUUUCCUGAGAGAGUAAGAAUGAAAUAACAAUUCAUUUUAUGAGUGGCUCCACUUUCUGUUCCUUAGAAUAUGCCAUACUUUCUUUGAAUUGGGUUUUAAAAAUUCUUAAUAGGUUCAAAAGCAUUUGGUCUGUUAAUACUGGAAGAUUUGUUUCUGUGAUUGCUGAGGUCCAUUUUAUAUUUUUGCUGCUGCUAUGGAGUUUUGAAUGAGUUUUGCUUUGAACUUUUAAACUGAAACAUGCCACUUAUUUUUAGAAAGGGCUAAUUAGGUGUUAUCCUUUAAUGCCCCUUAAAUGUAUUGCUGAUUUUCAGACAGGGAAGUCUAUUACACUGGAAUUGAGGAUGCUCCUAAUGUUUGCUUUAUAGAUAAGCCAACAUCAUACCAGGCAAGACAGACCAAUAACAUACCUGGUAUAACAUCUUACUGACACAUGAUUUUAGUGUAUAAAAAAAUACUGUACUGUUUUAUGUAUCUAUCAUCUUUAGAGGUGGUUAUGAUUUUUUUCAUGAAAGAUAAGCUUUUGGUGGUACUUUUUAAAAAAAAUUGGACUUGUUAAAAUCACAGACUGGAGAAUAAUAAUUUAUUUCUUGUAUAUAUUUUUUCUGAUUAUAAUAGUAAUAUAUGUUCACUGUAAAAAUUUAAAAACAGAAACUAUAUGUAAAAAAAAAAUGAAAUUUCACCACCUUUUGGUAGCCACUAUUAACAUAGCCUACUAGAGUUAGAUCAUAUUGUAAAUAGUUGUGUCUUUAUUAAUUUUCACUGUGUGUAAUUCCUUUGUCAUUAGUCUUCAAAAGCAUGAUUUUUAAUAGUUGUGGAGUAAUUACACUAUAUGAAUUUAUUGCAACUUAUUUAAACAUUCCUAUUGUUGGACUAGUUUCUUAUUGUUAAUUGCUGUUAAAUAAUAGAUGUUGUUUAAAAAUGAUUUUCUUGUUACAAUAUUUAAUUUCCUUGAGCAUAGAGAGAAGUAUUUCUGUCCCUUGAUAAAGUACUGUAAUAAAUUUGCCUGCAGCUUUGUCUUCUUUCA
rnacentral:lncRNA from 1 species